UGCCAACUUAGCUCAGCUGGUAGAGCAUCUCCCUCGUAAAGAGAAGGUCGUAGGUUCGACUCCUAUAGUUGGCAU
rnacentral:tRNA from 1 species